GAUGAACGCUGGCGGCGUGCCUAAUACAUGCAAGUCGAGCGAACAGACGAGGAGCUUGCUCCUCUGACGUUAGCGGCGGACGGGUGAGUAACACGUGGAUAACCUACCUAUAAGACUGGGAUAACUUCGGGAAACCGGAGCUAAUACCGGAUAAUAUAUUGAACCGCAUGGUUCAAUAGUGAAAGACGGUUUUGCUGUCACUUAUAGAUGGAUCCGCGCCGCAUUAGCUAGUUGGUAAGGUAACGGCUUACCAAGGCAACGAUGCGUAGCCGACCUGAGAGGGUGAUCGGCCACACUGGAACGGAGACACGGUCCAGACUCCUACGGGAGGCAGCAGUAGGGAAUCUUCCGCAAUGGGCGAAAGCCUGACGGAGCAACGCCGCGUGAGUGAUGAAGGUCUUCGGAUCGUAAAACUCUGUUAUUAGUGAAGAACAAAUGUGUAAGUAACUAUGCACGUCUUGACGGUACCUAAUCAGAAAGCCACGGCUAACUACGUG
rnacentral:rRNA from 1 species